rnacentral:rRNA from 1 species
GGGUUGUGAGGUUAAGCGACUAAGCGUACACGGUGGAUGCCCUGGCAGUCAGAGGCGAUGAAGGACGUGCUAAUCUGCGAUAAGCGUCGGUAAGGUGAUAUGAACCGUUAUAACCGGCGAUUUCCGAAUGGGGAAACCCAGUGUGUUUCGACACACUAUCAUUAACUGAAUCCAUAGGUUAAUGAGGCGAACCGGGGGAACUGAAACAUCUAAGUACCCCGAGGAAAAGAAAUCAACCGAGAUUCCCCUAGUAGCGGCGAGCGAACGGGGAGCAGCCCAGAGCCUGAAUCAGUGUGUGUGUUAGUGGAAGCGUCUGGAAAGGCGCGCGAUACAGGGUGACAGCCCCGUACACAAAAAUGCACAUGCUGUGAGCUCGAUGAGUAGGGCGGGACACGUGGUAUCCUGUCUGAAUAUGGGGGGACCAUCCUCCAAGGCUAAAUACUCCUGACUGACCGAUAGUGAACCAGUACCGUGAGGGAAAGGCGAAAAGAACCCCGGCGAGGGGAGUGAAAAAGAACCUGAAACCGUGUACGUACAAGCAGUGGGAGCACGCUUAGGCGUGUGACUGCGUACCUUUUGUAUAAUGGGUCAGCGACUUAUAUUCUGUAGCAAGGUUAACCGAAUAGGGGAGCCGAAGGGAAACCGAGUCUUAACUGGGCGUUAAGUUGCAGGGUAUAGACCCGAAACCCGGUGAUCUAGCCAUGGGCAGGUUGAAGGUUGGGUAACACUAACUGGAGGACCGAACCGACUAAUGUUGAAAAAUUAGCGGAUGACUUGUGGCUGGGGGUGAAAGGCCAAUCAAACCGGGAGAUAGCUGGUUCUCCCCGAAAGCUAUUUAGGUAGCGCCUCGUGAAUUCAUCUCCGGGGGUAGAGCACUGUUUCGGCAAGGGGGUCAUCCCGACUUACCAACCCGAUGCAAACUGCGAAUACCGGAGAAUGUUAUCACGGGAGACACACGGCGGGUGCUAACGUCCGUCGUGAAGAGGGAAACAACCCAGACCGCCAGCUAAGGUCCCAAAGUCAUGGUUAAGUGGGAAACGAUGUGGGAAGGCCCAGACAGCCAGGAUGUUGGCUUAGAAGCAGCCAUCAUUUAAAGAAAGCGUAAUAGCUCACUGGUCGAGUCGGCCUGCGCGGAAGAUGUAACGGGGCUAAACCAUGCACCGAAGCUGCGGCAGCGACGCUUAUGCGUUGUUGGGUAGGGGAGCGUUCUGUAAGCCUGCGAAGGUGUGCUGUGAGGCAUGCUGGAGGUAUCAGAAGUGCGAAUGCUGACAUAAGUAACGAUAAAGCGGGUGAAAAGCCCGCUCGCCGGAAGACCAAGGGUUCCUGUCCAACGUUAAUCGGGGCAGGGUGAGUCGACCCCUAAGGCGAGGCCGAAAGGCGUAGUCGAUGGGAAACAGGUUAAUAUUCCUGUACUUGGUGUUACUGCGAAGGGGGGACGGAGAAGGCUAUGUUGGCCGGGCGACGGUUGUCCCGGUUUAAGCGUGUAGGCUGGUUUUCCAGGCAAAUCCGGAAAAUCAAGGCUGAGGCGUGAUGACGAGGCACUACGGUGCUGAAGCAACAAAUGCCCUGCUUCCAGGAAAAGCCUCUAAGCAUCAGGUAACAUCAAAUCGUACCCCAAACCGACACAGGUGGUCAGGUAGAGAAUACCAAGGCGCUUGAGAGAACUCGGGUGAAGGAACUAGGCAAAAUGGUGCCGUAACUUCGGGAGAAGGCACGCUGAUAUGUAGGUGAAGUCCCUCGCGGAUGGAGCUGAAAUCAGUCGAAGAUACCAGCUGGCUGCAACUGUUUAUUAAAAACACAGCACUGUGCAAACACGAAAGUGGACGUAUACGGUGUGACGCCUGCCCGGUGCCGGAAGGUUAAUUGAUGGGGUCAGCGCAAGCGAAGCUCUUGAUCGAAGCCCCGGUAAACGGCGGCCGUAACUAUAACGGUCCUAAGGUAGCGAAAUUCCUUGUCGGGUAAGUUCCGACCUGCACGAAUGGCGUAAUGAUGGCCAGGCUGUCUCCACCCGAGACUCAGUGAAAUUGAACUCGCUGUGAAGAUGCAGUGUACCCGCGGCAAGACGGAAAGACCCCGUGAACCUUUACUAUAGCUUGACACUGAACAUUGAGCCUUGAUGUGUAGGAUAGGUGGGAGGCUUUGAAGUGUGGACGCCAGUCUGCAUGGAGCCGACCUUGAAAUACCACCCUUUAAUGUUUGAUGUUCUAACGUUGACCCGUGAUCCGGGUUGCGGACAGUGUCUGGUGGGUAGUUUGACUGGGGCGGUCUCCUCCUAAAGAGUAACGGAGGAGCACGAAGGUUGGCUAAUCCUGGUCGGACAUCAGGAGGUUAGUGCAAUGGCAUAAGCCAGCUUGACUGCGAGCGUGACGGCGCGAGCAGGUGCGAAAGCAGGUCAUAGUGAUCCGGUGGUUCUGAAUGGAAGGGCCAUCGCUCAACGGAUAAAAGGUACUCCGGGGAUAACAGGCUGAUACCGCCCAAGAGUUCAUAUCGACGGCGGUGUUUGGCACCUCGAUGUCGGCUCAUCACAUCCUGGGGCUGAAGUAGGUCCCAAGGGUAUGGCUGUUCGCCAUUUAAAGUGGUACGCGAGCUGGGUUUAGAACGUCGUGAGACAGUUCGGUCCCUAUCUGCCGUGGGCGCUGGAGAACUGAGGGGGGCUGCUCCUAGUACGAGAGGACCGGAGUGGACGCAUCACUGGUGUUCGGGUUGUCAUGCCAAUGGCACUGCCCGGUAGCUAAAUGCGGAAGAGAUAAGUGCUGAAAGCAUCUAAGCACGAAACUUGCCCCGAGAUGAGUUCUCCCUGACCCUUUAAGGGUCCUGAAGGAACGUUGAAGACGACGACGUUGAUAGGCCGGGUGUGUAAGCGCAGCGAUGCGUUGAGCUAACCGGUACUAAUGAACCGUGAGGCUUAACCUUACAACGCCGAAGGUGUUU